rnacentral:rRNA from 1 species
CCGGUCGACGUAACUUGUUUCUCCUUAUUGGAUUGGAGAGGCGAGGAAGUAGAUCCAGGAAAUAACUCCAGCUUAUAGACCGUACCCGAAACCGACACAGGUGGGAAAGUAGAGAAUACUAAAGCGCUUGAGAGAAUGAUGUUGAAGGAACUCGGCAAAUUGCACCCGUAACUUCGGAAGAAGGGUGACCCAUAUGGAGGCAACUCGGUAUGGGUGUCACAAAAGAGGGGGUGGCGACUGUUUAUCAAAAACACAGGGCUCUGCGAAAUCGGUAAGAUGACGUAUAGGGUCUGACUCCUGCCCGGUGCCGGAAGGUUAAGAGGAGAUGUUCACGCAUUGAAUUGAAGCCCCGGUAAACGGCGGCCGUAACGAUAACGGUCCUAAGGUAGCGAAAUUCCUUGUCGGGUAAGUUCCGACCUGCACGAAUGGAGUAACGACUUCCCCACUGUCUCCAACAUCAACUCAGUGAAAUUGGAUUCCCCGUGAAGAUACGGGGUUCCCGCGGCUAGACGGAAAGACCCUAUGAACCUUUACUAUAACUUUGCAGUGGCCGUACGAUUGUCAUGUGUAGGAUAGGUGGGAGACUAUGAAGCGGGAGCGCCAGCUUUCGUGGAGUCAACCUUGAAAUACCACCCUUGACCUUCGUACUGUCUAACCAUAACCGGUAUAUCCCGGUUUGGGACCCUGCAUGGCGGGUAGUUUGACUGGGGCGGUCGCCUCCUAAAGAGUAACGGAGGCGCGCGAUGGUGAGCUCAAGACGGUCGGAAAUCGUCUUCAAGAGUGCAAUGGCAUAAGCUCGCCUGACUGUGAGACUGACAAGUCGAGCAGAGAGGAAACUCGGUCAUAGUGAUCCGGUGGUCCCGUAUGGAAGGGCCAUCGCUCAACGGAUAAAAGGUACUCUAGGGAUAACAGGCUGAUAGCGCCCAAGCGUCCCCAGCGACGGCGCUGUUUGGCACCUCGAUGUCGGCUCAUCUCAUCCUGGGGCUGGAGAAGGUCCCAAGGGUAUGGCUGUUCGCCAUUUAAAGAGGUACGUGAGCUGGGUUCAGAACGUCGUGAGACAGUUUGGUCCCUAUCUACCGUGGGUGUUGGAUACUUGAGAGGAGCUGUCCUUAGUACGAGAGGACCGGGAUGGACGCACCUCUGGUGUACCUGUUGUCACGCCAGUGGCAUCGCAGGGUAGCUAUGUGCGGAACGGAUAAACGCUGAAAGCAUCUAAGCGUGAAACCGACCUCAAAACUAGGUAUCCCUAUCAGAGCCGUGAAAGACCAUCACGUUGAUAGGCUGGAUGUGGAAGAACCGUAAGGUUUGUAGCUAACCAGUACUAAUUGCUCC